rnacentral:rRNA from 1 species
UACGUAGGGGGCAAGCGUUGUCCGGAUUUAUUGGGCGUAAAGAGCGUGUAGGCGGUUAGGUAGGUCCGUUGUGAAAACUCGAGGCUCAACCUCGAGACGCCGAUGGAAACCAUCUAACUAGAGUCCGGAAGAGGAGAGUGGAAUUCCUGGUGUAGCGGUGAAAUGCGCAGACAUCAGGAAGAACACCCGUGGCUAAGGCGGCUCUCUAGUACGGUACUGACGCUGAGACGCGAAAGCGUGGGGAGCGAACAGG